rnacentral:pre_miRNA from 1 species
AAUAAGUGCAAUUUUGCACUAUUUAUAUUCAAUGUUUGACCGUUCGUCUUAUUUGAAAUUUUUUUAUGAUUAGUAUUUUUAUUGCUAUUAGAUGAUAAAACAUGAAUAGUACUGUAUGUGUGACUAAAUAUUUUUAAAUUUUUCAAAUAAGACGGACGGUCAAACGUUGGGCACGGAUAUCCACGGCUGCACUUAUU